GCUGACGAGCGGCGGACGGGUGAGUAAUACUUAGGAAUCUGCCCAGUAGUGGGGGAUAGCUCGGGGAAACUCGAAUUAAUACCGCAUACACCCUACGGGGAAAAGGGGGCUGCUUGCAGCUCUCGCUAUUGGAUGAGCCUAAGUCGGAUUAGCUAGUUGGUGGGGUAAAGGCCUACCAAGGCGACGAUCUGUAGCUGGUUUGAGAGGAUGAUCAGCCACACCGGAACUGAGACACGGUCCGGACUCCUACGGGAGGCAGCAGUGGGGAAUAUUGGACAAUGGGGGCAACCCUGAUCCAGCCAUGCCGCGUGUGUGAAGAAGGCCUUUUGGUUGUAAAGCACUUUAAGCA
rnacentral:rRNA from 1 species